rnacentral:rRNA from 1 species
CCUACGGGAGGCAGCAGUAGGGAAUAUUGCUCAAUGGGGGAAACCCUGAAGCAGCAACGCCGCGUGGAGGAUGAAGGUUUUCGGAUUGUAAACUCCUUUUGUUAGAGAAGAUAAUGACGGUAUCUAACGAAUAAGCACCGGCUAACUCCGUUCCAGCAGCCGCGGUAAUACGGAGGGUGCAAGCGUUACUCGGAAUCACUGGACGUAAAGCGCGCGUAGGCGGGUUAGAAAGUCAGUGGUGAAAUUCUAUGGCUUAACCAUAGAACUGCAUUUGAAACUGGUAUUCUGGAGUAUGGGAGAGGUAGGUGGAAUUCUGGGUGUAGGGGUAAAAUCCGUAGAGAUCAAGAGGAAUACUCAUUGCGAAGGCGACCUGCCAGAACAUAACUGACGCUGAUGCGCGAAAGCGUGGGGAGCAAACAGGAUUAGAUACCCGUGUAGUC